UACGUAGGGUGCGAGCGUUGUCCGGAAUUAUUGGGCGUAAAGAGCGUGUAGGCGGCUCGCUAAGUCUUGCGUGAAAUCUCGGGGCUCAACCCCGAGCGGUCGUGAGAAACUGGCGGGCUAGAGUGCGGGAGAGGAGAGUGGAAUUCCUGGUGUAGCGGUGAAAUGCGCAGAUAUCAGGAGGAAUACCGAUGGCGAAGGCAGGUCUCUGGGCUGACACUGACGCUCAUGCACGAAAGCGUGGGGAGCAAACAGG
rnacentral:rRNA from 1 species